GCGCGCGUAGCUCAGUGGAAGAGCGCGUCUCUGAUAAAGACGAGGUCGCAAGUUCGAUCCUUGCCGCGCGCA
rnacentral:tRNA from 1 species